rnacentral:lncRNA from 1 species
UAGAAAUACUUUUUUGUUUAUUAAAAAUGUAGUAAAACAAUUGCUUUACAAGAUUAUGAUAAAAAGAGGACCAACUAUUUCGACCUUUUGAGAAAUGAUAAGGAUUUUUUAAGGGACACAGAGAGAAGACGUAUUUAUAAAAUUCCUGUAAAAGAUGCAAAUACCCAACAAAUAGCUUCAUAUGUAUAGGGGUACCAAAUGGAGUCUUACUCAAAGACAAGCAUAAACACAAUAUAUCUAAAGGAAAACUUUCAACUGCAUUAUAAGUGAAGCAUACAUUAGUGACUUGCAGAUAAAUUAAGAUGAAGCAUGAAUUAUUAGGUCACUUAUGUAUCAAACCAAACCUUGACUAUUGAGUCAUUUGAGAUUAUCAGAAGAUAGUAAAGAUCCUAAAUGAAAAACUGGCACAACAGCUUCUCCUGUCAUGGAUGUAUGCUAUCAAAAAGUUUUGACCAAGCUUUCAGUAGCUUUGAACCAACAACCCCCUGCCAAUUUUUUACUUAUAUUACUAUUUUACUGAUUAUUUUAAUGUUAAUCUUAAUCCAUAACCAUAGAAACAUAAUUUUGUUCUAUUUUUUUAAAGUUUUAACCUUUAUUAUAACAUUCUACCCUGUAACUUGAUGAGGCUGUAAAAUGCUUGUUUUAUAGUUUUUGCCUGUUUUUAUAACUAAGUAGAAGCAGUUUACAG